AUGCAUGUAUUUAUUAUCCUUGCAAGAAUGGAAGUAGUCAUCACACACAAAGCUGCAUGGGACAAAUAGUUCCCAGAGUAGAGUCCUUGAUAUGCUUACAUACAAGAGAGAGAGUAUG